GGCACCGUAGCUCAGUCGGUUAGAGCGGGCGUUUCAUAAGCGCUAGGUCAGAGGUUCGAAUCCUCUCGGUGCCA
rnacentral:tRNA from 1 species